rnacentral:rRNA from 1 species
GAUGAACGCUGGCGGCGUGCCCAAUACAUGCAAGUCGAACGCUUUGUGGUUCAACUGAUUUGAAGAGCUUGCUCAGAUAUGACGAUGGACAUUGCAAAGAGUGGCGAACGGGUGAGUAACACGUGGGAAACCUACCUCUUAGCAGGGGAUAACAUUUGGAAACAGAUGCUAAUACCGUAUAACAAUGACAACCGCAUGGUUGUUAUUUAAAAGAUGGUUCUGCUAUCACUAAGAGAUGGUCCCGCGGUGCAUUAGCUAGUUGGUAAGGUAAUGGCUUACCAAGGCGAUGAUGCAUAGCCGAGUUGAGAGACUGAUCGGCCACAAUGGGACUGAGACACGGCCCAUACUCCUACGGGAGGCAGCAGUAGGGAAUCUUCCACAAUGGGCGAAAGCCUGAUGGAGCAACGCCGCGUGUGUGAUGAAGGGUUUCGGCUCGUAAAACACUGUUGCAAGAGAAGAAUGACAUUGAGAGUAACUGUUCAAUGUGUGACGGUAUCUUACCAGAAAGGAACGGCUAAAUACGUGCCAGCAGCCGCGGUAAUACGUAUGUUCCAAGCGUUAUCCGGAUUUAUUGGGCGUAAAGCGAGCGCAGACGGUUAUUUAAGUCUGAAGUGAAAGCCCUCAGCUCAACUGAGGAAUUGCUUUGGAAACUGGAUGACUUGAGUGCAGUAGAGGAAAGUGGAACUCCAUGUGUAGCGGUGAAAUGCGUAGAUAUAUGGAAGAACACCAAUGGCGAAGGCGGCUUUCUGGACUGUAACUGACGUUGAGGCUCGAAAGUGUGGGUAGCAAACAGGAUUAGAUACCCUGGUAGUCCACACCGUAAACGAUGAGUGCUAGGUGUUUGAGGGUUUCCGCCCUUAAGUGCCGCAGCUAACGCAUUAAGCACUCCGCCUGGGGAGUACGACCGCAAGGUUGAAACUCAAAGGAAUUGACGGGGACCCGCACAAGCGGUGGAGCAUGUGGUUUAAUUCGAAGCAACGCGAAGAACCUUACCAGAUCUUGACAUCCCUUGACAACUCCAGAGAUGGAGCGUUCCCUUCGGGGACAAGGUGACAGGUGGUGCAUGGUUGUCGUCAGCUCGUGUCGUGAGAUGUUGGGUUAAGUCCCGCAACGAGCGCAACCCUUAUUACUAGUUGCCAGCAUUCAGUUGGGCACUCUAGUGAGACUGCCGGUGACAAACCGGAGGAAGGUGGGGAUGACGUCAAAUCAUCAUGCCCCUUAUGACCUGGGCUACACACGUGCUACAAUGGCGUAUACAACGAGUUGCCAACCCGCGAGGGUGAGCUAAUCUCUUAAAGUACGUCUCAGUUCGGAUUGUAGGCUGCAACUCGCCUACAUGAAGUCGGAAUCGCUAGUAAUCGCGGAUCAGCACGCCGCGGUGAAUACGUUCCCGGGUCU